AACGAACGCUGGCGGCGUGCCUAACACAUGCAAGUCGAGCGAGAAAGUCCGCAAGGAUGAGUACAGCGGCGCACGGGUGCGUAACACGUGGGUAAUCUGCCCUGAAGCCCGGAAUAACCUCCCGAAAGGGAAGCUAAUGCCGGAUAAGACCACGGGAGCCUCGGCUCCUGCGGGAAAAGGUGGCCUCUGUACACAAGCUAUCACUUCAGGAUGAGCCCGCGGCCCAUCAGCUCGUUGGCGGGGUAACGGCCCACCAAGGCUACGACGGGUAGCUGGUCUGAGAGGACGAUCAGCCACACUGGAGCUGAGACACGGUCCAGACUCCUACGGGAGGCAGCAGUGGGGAAUCUUGCGCAAUGGGCGAAAGCCUGACGCAGCAACGCCGCGUGUGUGAUGAAGGUCUUCGGAUCGUAAAGCACUGUCGGGAGGAAAGAACAAGCCUGUGGCUAACAUCCACGGGCCUUGACGGUACCUCCAAAGGAAGCACCGGCUAACUCUGUGCCAGCCGCCGCAGUAAAAC
rnacentral:rRNA from 1 species